rnacentral:lncRNA from 1 species
AGGAUUAUCAUGGAGAUGGUGUUUGAUCCAAAGAGAUUGGUGCACAAUCACUUUCUUUGGAUAGAUGAGUCUUAAAUCUAUGGUGUGGAGAUAUCGGAGUGAGAAUGCAAGUGCUUGUUAAGAAUAAAGGCACUAACCAUGAUCAAUCAUGAGUAGUCACUAGGAUGUCUACCUACUCGUCAAUGACUAACUCGAUACUGUGGUAGUAUGAUUAGUUUUUUGACAUGCAGUGUCUCGAUUAUUCAUAGUGAGAUAGCUAUAGUUUGACUACACCAAACUUGAUCUUCUAGCCAUACGGUGCCUUGAGGUGUAAUUGGC